CUACGGGGCGCUCCAGCGAGGAAUAUUGCACAAUGGGGGGAACCCUGAUGCAGCAACGCCGCGUGGAGGAUGACGCAUUUCGGUGUGUAAACUCCUUUUAUAUGUCAAGAAAAUGACGGUAGCAUAUGAAUAAGCACCGGCUAACUCCGUGCCAGCAGCCGCGGUAAUACGGAGGGUGCAAGCGUUACUCGGAAUCACUGGGCGUAAAGGACGCGUAGGCGGGUUGGAAAGUCAGGUGUGAAAACCUACAGCUUAACUGUAGAACUGCACUUGAAACUUCUAAUCUAGAGUAUGGGAGGGGGAGAUGGAAUUAGUGGUGUAGGGGUAAAAUCCGUAGAUAUCACUAGGAAUACCUAAAGCGAAGGCGAUCUCCUGGAACAUUACUGACGCUAAGGCGUGAAAGCGUGGGGAGCAAACAGGAUUAGAUACCCCUGUAGUC
rnacentral:rRNA from 1 species